rnacentral:rRNA from 1 species
GACAGAGGGUGCAAACGUUGUUCGGAAUUACUGGGCGUAAAGGGCGCGUAGGCGGCCUUCUAAGUCAGACGUGAAAUCCCCAGGCUUAACUUGGGAACUGCGUCUGAUACUGGGAGGCUUGAGUGCGGGAGAGGGAUGUGGAAUUCCAGGUGUAGCGGUGAAAUGCGUAGAUAUCUGGAGGAACACCGGUGGCGAAGGCGGCAUCCUGGACCGACACUGACGCUGAGGCGCGAAAGCCAGGGGAGCAAACGGG